GGAAAGAUGCCAGAGCGGUUGAAUGGGACGGUCUCGAAAACCGUUGUACGGGCGACUGUACCGAGAGUUCGAAUCUCUCUCUUUCCGCUA
rnacentral:tRNA from 1 species